GACGAACGCUGGCGGCGUGCUUAACACAUGCAAGUCGAACGGUAAGGCCCUUCGGGGUACACGAGUGGCGAACGGGUGAGUAACACGUGGGUGUUCUGCCCUGCACUUCGGGAUAAGCCUGGGAAACUGGGUCUAAUACCGGAUAGGACCACUGUCUGCAUGGGUGGCGGUGGAAAGCGUUUGCGGUGUGGGUUGGGCGCGCGGCCUAUCAGCUUGUUGGUGGGGGGAUGGCCUACCAAGGCGACGACGGGUUGCCGGCCUGAGAGGGUGAGCGGACACGCUGGGACUGAGAUACGGCCCAGACUCCUACGGGAGGCAGCAGUGGGGAAUAUUGCACAAUGGGCGCAAGCCUGAUGCAGCGACGCCGCGUGAGGGAUGACGGCCUUCGGGUUGUAAACCUCUUUCAGCACCGACGAAGCGCAAGUGACGGUAGGUGCAGAAGAAGGACCGGCCAACUACGUGCCAGCCGCCGCCGUAA
rnacentral:rRNA from 1 species